rnacentral:rRNA from 1 species
UACGUAGGGUCCGAGCGUUGUCCGGAUUCAUUGGGCGUAAAGAGCUCGUAGGCGGCUCAGUAAGUCGGGUGUGAAACCCUCAGGCUCAACCUGGGGACGCCACUCGAUACUGCUGUGGCUAGAGUCCAGUAGAGGAGUGUGGAAUUCCCGGUGUAGCGGUGAAAUGCGCAGAUAUCGGGAGGAACACCAACGGCGAAGGCAGCACUCUGGGCUGGAACUGACGCUGAGGAGCGAAAAGCGUGGGUAGCAAACAGG